rnacentral:tRNA from 1 species
UUCCUGGUGGUCUAGUGGUUAAGGAUCUGGCAUUGUCACUGCUGUGGUUCAGGGUUCGAUUCCUGACCUGGGAA